GCUUGGCCACACUCAUCCUCCUCCUAACCAUGGCCACUAGGGGCUCGGCGAUACCUGGGAUUUUGGUGGGGGCGGCGAUGGUCUGGCUUGUCGCAGCUGAAAUGAUCCGGUCUGCAACUUGUGGGUAUGUAAACCUGUCCAUGAACAUAACUUUGUUCUUAGCUAGGCAAAAACAAACAGACAGUUCUUGAUCCCGACUUUAAACUUGACAAGGAAUAUUUAGUAUAAUAUAAUGAUCUAAAUCUAUGGAAUACUUGUUAUAGCUGGGAGUUACACCCGAAAACUUGCCUGUGAAACCGACCGUUUUCAAGACGAGAACGAUGUAAAGAGCAAGAAGACCAUAGAGGAGGAGGUGUUGAUUCACUUUGAUGAUUGCCAUACUGCAUAUGAUGUGGAGAAAUUUUCGUGGGCUUUUAUGGAGCAGUUUUCCUUCAUUUCCAUGUCGCGUGGAGUAAAUUUCCAUGAAAUUAAUUAACUAUGCCCCUGAAGAUUGAGGUGACAGUUUCCUUGCCGACUUCUCGCUAGCACACACUACAGAGUACCCCCUGUUUGCCAAGCAGGAAAUUACAUUGAGAUGAAGACCUUUUUCCCGGAAAAAAGUUAUCAAUUCCACAGCACUGCUGUUGUCAUUACAAUAUAAAACCUUAUAUUUCAAAAGUAAUGAAAUGUAAUCUAUCUUCUUAGCAUAAUUAUCAAUAGC
rnacentral:lncRNA from 1 species